rnacentral:rRNA from 1 species
CAAUAGCGUAUAUUAAAGUUGUUGUGGUUAAAAAGCUCGUAGUUGGAGUUCUGCCAGGUGCCGCCUGUCCGCCCCAGUGGUGAGUACGUGGCGCGCAUUUGGCCCUUUCAAGGGGAGCGUAUCUGCACUUUAUUGUGUGGUGCGGGAUCCUUGACUUUUACUUUGAGGAAAUAGGAGUGUUCCAAGCAGGCUCUCGUCGUGCACAGCUCAGCAUGGAAUAAUAGCAUUGGACCUCGAUUCUAAGCUGUUGGUUGCCAGAAGCGAGGUAAUGAUGAAGAGGGAUAGUUGGGGGCAUUCGUAUUUAACUGUCGGAGGUGAAAUUCUUGGAUUUGUUAAAGACGGACUACUGCGAAAGCAUCUGCCAUGGAUGUUUUCAUUGA